rnacentral:sRNA from 1 species
GCCACAUCUACUUCACGCUAGUGACCGAAGGGGGCGGCGAGAUCGACUUCCGCUGCCCCCUGGAAGAUCCCGGCUGGAACGCCCAGAUCACCCUAGGCCUGGUCAAGUUCAAAAACCAGCAGGCCAUCCAGACAGUGCGGGCCCGGCAGAGCCUCGGGACCGGGACCCUCGUGUCCUAAACCACCGGGCGCACCAUCUUUCCUUCAUGCUACCCACCACCUCCGUGCUGAGGUCAAGGUGUCUCAUUGCAACCUCUGCCUCCUGGGCUCAAGCAAAUCUCCUACUUCAGGCCUCCAGAGUAGCUGGGAUUACAGCUUCGUUGUUCCCUCUGGCUUGUGGGGGCAUUGCUGUGCUCCAUGUGGCAAGGUGGAAGGCAUGGACGUGUGGAGGAGGCGCUGGAGCUGAAGGAAUGGACGGGCCCUGGGAGGAGGGCAGAAGGCUACGCAGGGCUGAGGAUGAAGAUUCAGCCCCUGGAUGGUCCCAGACUCUCAGGACAUGCCCAGCUCAGGGGCUUCAAGCCACAGGCCUGGCCUCAUAUGGCAUGAGGGGGAGCUGGCAUCAGAGCCCCCUCCCUGCUGUGGUCCUGCCCUCUGUCCUGCAGACUGCUCUUAGCCCCCUGGCUUUGUGCCAGGCCUGGAGG